rnacentral:rRNA from 1 species
UACGGAAGGGGCAAGCGUUGUUCGGAAUCAUUGGGCGUAAAGGGCGCGUAGGCGGCUUUGUAAGUUAGAGGUGAAAGCCCGGGGCUCAACUCCGGAAUUGCCUUUAAGACUGCAUCGCUAGAAUUGUGGAGAGGUAAGUGGAAUUCCGAGUGUAGAGGUGAAAUUCGUAGAUAUUCGGAAGAACACCAGUGGCGAAGGCGACUUACUGGACACAUAUUGACGCUGAGGUGCGAAAGCGUGGGGAGCAAACAGG